rnacentral:rRNA from 1 species
GACGAACGCUGGCGGCGUGCUUAACACAUGCAAGUCGAACGGAAAGGUCCUGCUUUUGUGGGGUGCUCGAGUGGCGAACGGGUGAGUAACACGUGAGUAACCUGCCCUUGACUUUGGGAUAACUUCAGGAAACUGGGGCUAAUACCGGAUAGGAGCUCCUGCUGCAUGGUGGGGGUUGGAAAGUUUCGGCGGUUGGGGAUGGACUCGCGGCGUAUCAGCUUGUUGGUGGGGUAGUGGCUUACCAAGGUUUUGACGGGUAGCCGGCCUGAGAGGGUGACAGGCCACACUGGGACCGAGGUGCGGCCCAGACUCCGACGGGAGGCAGCAGGGGGGAAGAUUGCACGAUGGGCGGAACCCUGAUGAAGCAACGCCGCGUGCCGGAUGACGGCGUUCGGAUUGAAGACCGCUUGUGCAUGUAACAAAGCGCGUGUGACGGUAAUGGGUAAAGAAGCACCCGCUAACUACGGGC